rnacentral:rRNA from 1 species
AUUGAACGCUGGCGGCAGGCCUAACACAUGCAAGUCGAGCGAGCGGCAGACGGGUGAGUAAUGUAUGGGGACUGCCCGAUAGAGGGGGCUCACUACUCGAAACAGUGGCUAAUACCGCAUACUAUCGGAUCGCCCAUAUGGGCUUAGCUAGUAGGUGGGGUAAAGGCUCACCAAGACGACGAGCUCUAGCUGGUAUGAGAGGAUGAUCAGCCACACUGGGACUGAGACACGGCCCAGACUCCUACGGAGGCAGCAGUGGGGAAUAUUGCACAAUGGGCGCAAGUCUGAUGCAGCCAGGCCGCGUGUAGGAAGAAGGCCUUAGGGUUGUAAAGUACUUUCAGCGGGGAGGCGUUAUCCGCAGAAUAAGCACCGGCUAACUACGUGCCAGCAGCCGCGGUAAUUC